UUGAACGCUGGCGGCAUGCCUAACACAUGCAAGUCGAACGGGAUCAGGGGCAACUCUGGUUCAGUGGCGGACGGGUGAGGAACGCAUCGGAAUUUACCUCGAGAUGGGGGAUAACCAAGGGAAACUUUGGCUAAUACCGCAUGAUCUCGCGAGAGCAAAGAGGGGGACCGCAAGGCCUCUUGUCUUGAGAUGAGCCGAUGUCCGAUUAGCUAGUUGGUAGGGUAAAGGCCUACCAAGGCGACGAUCGGUAGCUGGUCUGAGAGGAUGAUCAGCCACAUUGGGACUGAGACACGGCCCAAACUCCUACGGGAGGCAGCAGUGGGGAAUAUUGGACAAUGGGCGCAAGCCUGAUCCAGCAAUGCCGCGUGUGUGAAGAAGGCCUGCGGGUUGUAAAGCACUUUUGUCCGGAAAGAAAUCGCGUGAGUUAAUACCUUGCGUGGAUGACGGUACCGGGAGAAUAAGCACCGGCUAACUUCGU
rnacentral:rRNA from 1 species